CGGGUGAGUAAUACAUCGGAACGUGUCCUGUAGCGGGGGAUAACCUAGCGAAAGCUAGGCUAAUACCGCAUACGUCCUUAGGGAGAAAGUGGGGGAUCGUAAGACCUCACACUAUAGGAGCGGCCGAUGCCGGAUUAGCUUGUUGGUGGGGUAAAAGCCUACCAAGGCGACGAUCCGUAGCUGGUCUGAGAGGAUGAUCAGCCACACUGGGACUGAGACACGGCCCAGACUCC
rnacentral:rRNA from 1 species